GGAUCUCCAAAGCCAGGGUCUGCUGGUGACAGCUGCUCCUCUCCUGUGGUCCCAUCCGGUGUUCUGAAUGUGUGGACUCUAAACAGGCUCUUUAUAAAACAGAAGGGGGCUGAGGGGGGAAAGAAAUCAACAUAUAUACUUACAUCUUUUCCAGUGUGACAGUUUCUGGUGUACGGGUAACUGAGUGCAGGGACACCCAGAGCUGGAAAAGCAUGGCUUCUGGGUGUGUCUACGAGGGUGCUUUGGGAAGAGAUGAGCAUUUGAAUCAGUCAACUAAGGAUGAUCCAGCCUCGUCCAGUGUGAGUGGGCCCCUUCCAAUCUGUGGAGGGCCUGGAUGGGACGAGCAGGCAGAGGACAGGUGGAUUCACUCUUCUGGAGCAAGGACAUGCCUCGCCUCCUGCGCGCAGACAUCAGAACUCCAGGUUCCCCGGCGUUUGGCCUUGGACUGGGAAUUACACCAUUACAUCCUCUUGAUCUCAGGCCUUCAGAUUCAAACAGAACGACAGCAGCAGCUUUCCUGGGUCUCCAACCUGCAGGGGACAGACUGUGGAACUUCCUGAGUUCCACAUAAUGACAUGAACCAAUGCCCAUGAUACACCCCCUCUUCUAUGUCUUUAUUCUAUUGAUUGUUUCUCUGCAGAACCCUGAUGUAUUAACAUACACAACAAAGAAGGCAAGACAGGAAGAUAUUCCAUCCUACUUAGCCACGGGUCAUGAGGUCAAGAUGGUGCUACUGUCUGAAUGCCGCUGUCCCCCCACCGACCCCCACAUUCACCUGUUGGAACCUAAAACACAAUGCCACAGUAUUAAGAGGUGGGGUUUUCUGGGAAGUGAGUAAGUCAGGAAGCUCUGCCUCAUGAAUGGGAUUACUGGCCCUUAGAGGAGAGGCUAAAGGGAGCUGCCUUGACCUUUCACCAUGCAGAACACUGACUUGGCUCCUGCUGCCAUAAGCGGGCGAUACAAGGUGCCAUCUGUGAAGCAGACAGAGCUCUCACCAGACCCCAAAGCUCCUGGUGCCUUGACCUUGGAUUCUCAGCUUUCAGAACGGUACCUGGUGCUGCCAAUUCUGGGCCUUCUCUGUGGAUGCUGAGGUAUAGAAGAGUCGGGUCUGGCCUUCUCAUCACGGACCCAGAGUCAGGACUGCCACGCUGCUCACCACACCUCGCCUGCUUUCCAGAGUCUGCGGCCAUGCUGCCAUGUCCCUGCAGAGUAUGCUGAAUACCGUGUUCCUGGGAGUUUACACUACAUAUUUUAUUUCUCUUAACCCUUUACUUCAGUGGUAGUAAGCUUUCAAAAGAAAACAAAAAAAAAAAAAAAAAAGCAUGUAUUUUAUCUGCCGUCAUUAACUGGAAGGCUUGCCUCACUUCUCUUGCUACAAAAUGAGAUCUUGGAUCAGAAGCAGGGCUGAAUUUGGUUCCAUGAAAAUGAGUGAGGGAUGAAGUCUGUGGCUGGAGGGAGCGGCAGAAAUGCGACAGGCUGGGAAGGCAAAUCCAGAUUCAGAACACAUAUCAGUAACACUUUAGAAAAACGAUCUAUUUCAGUUCCUAGGAAACCCACAAUCCAUUAGUCACUCCCAAGGAUCCCUGUAGGUCAGACCAUCUGAUUACCACCACUCCAGCCCUGCUGCUUACUGCAGUGACCAUGCACAUUUUGCCUUUGGUGCUUAUGAGCCAUUACUUGGCCACUGUCAACCCUAAGAUCCCAUUAUCCUCCCUGAAAGCAGGGAGGCCACUUCAAAGGCAAAGGCUCCUGCUCACACCCUUGACUGGUCAAAGUCGCCGGCGUUCCUCACCAACAAGGUCCUCAAUGAUGGGCGAGGUGUCCUCUCAGCCCUCUCAGCAGACACAGGGGGCACGGGUGACAUGCCUGACGUAUCCACUCCAGCAUUCGGGGCGCCCGCCUUUGGGUCCCUUUAUGUCACGUAAGAGCAUCUGCAGCAUUUUGACUCCUUGCAUCACAGGCCACCUUUAACCCAGAGGUCAGUGAACAAGCAAGCAGGCCCUCAGAAAUGCUCUCGGCUGCUUCAGCUCCACCUUGAGCACCUGUUGCUGGAAUACUCCCGAAAUGAAUUUCGACAUCACACAGCCCUCUUAGCAGCAGACCACAGAAGCCUCACUGGCUGGUGUGCAUCAGACAGAUUACAGAACCUUCAGGAGCACUGGAGUCAGCUCGCAGGCUGCACAGCCCAGACGACGGCCAAACCACAGCCAGCAGGGACAGCCCUCAGCUUGUACGUGGGCAGUGGGAAGGGGACUCCAGAAGUUCCAACACUGCUUUCCAUCAGCCAUCUUCGUCUAAACAUGGAGGCUGCAUGUUCCUGCUUCCUGAUCUGAGCUGAAGUCUGGGACAGGCACGUAUGAUGGGCUGAACUCAGUGGCAUGUCUGUUUUCCUGGGGAAGCUGGGAUUUUAAAUAAAUUCUGGUUUCUACGACA